AGGCAUGCAAGUCGAACGGGAUCGUCUGGAUAGCAAUAUUCGGGCGUGAGAGUGGCGGAUUGGGAGGAGCACGUGAGCAACCUGCCCUGGAGAUGUGGAAAACCUCUGGAAACGGAGGCUAAUACAGGAUGUGGCGCCCCAUGGCAUCAUGGGAGCGCCGAAGGGGGCCGCAAGGCUCCCGCUCCGGGAUGGGCUCGCGCACCAUCAGCUAGUUGGCGGGGUAACGGCCCACCAAGGCCUACGGUUAGCUGGUCUGAGAGGAUGACCAGCCCCACUGGGACUGAGAUACUGCCCAGACUCCUACGGGAGGCUGCAGUCGAGGAUCAUUCGCAAUGGACGGAAGUCUGACGAUGCAACGCUGCGUGGAGGAUGAAAGGCCUUCGGGUCGUAAACUCCUGUCAUGAGGGAAGAGGCGAGGGAAGCUAAUACCUUCUUUAGUUGACUGUACCUCAAAAGGAAGCGACGGCUAACUCUGUGCCAGCAGCAGC
rnacentral:rRNA from 1 species